CUCACUUCUUAGUUUCUCUUUCUCCAGUGCACUGAGCCCUAGCCCUUUCCUCUUCCAGUUCACAGCCAUCAAUCACGUUGGUGAGCUCUGAUUCAUUGCUCUCCAUUUGCGUCGGUGACCUCUAGGCCUUAGUCCCUUGCUCUCCGGUCUCCAUCACCCCUAACCUUUGAUUCAUUGCUCUUCAGUCUCCAUUCUCGCUCGAGCCAUUAUCCUGCUGUCAAUCACGUCGGUGAGCUCUGGUUCAUUGCUGCUCCGCCAGUGCGCCAUCACCAUCAGUCGCAUUUAUCGUCGCCUCUCGCAUCUGAUUCAUCAUCGAGCACGUCACAUCAUCGCCCCACCCCUGGUUUGCAUCACCCCUACCCUCUAAUUCACCGCCAUUCUUGUACCUUUGAGCACACAGUCGCCACUCGCCUGCUCUCAUGUUCUUAGAAGUUUCUUGCAAAGUUUUUUUAGAGUGACGAAUGGAAGCUAGAAUGAUGCAGAGUAUCAAGCUCAAAAUGUUCAAUGGUACAUUUAGUGCAAGAAUGUGCAAUAACAGUUCUUUUAGACUUGUCAAAGAAUGUGCACGAUUCACUGUCAAAGGAAUUUAUUGACAUAAUGGUGGUGACGUUGUUGCUGGGAUAAUUUGGAACUCCGAGGAUUAGUGGAUUUACUGCUUUGAACACGUCUUUACCUCCAGUUAUUGCUGAAAUUAAUGCUGAGGUUGGGGUGCCAAGCUUGCUGCAACAAGGGUUCGCAUAAAGUUGGAGUUGCUGUGCAAAAUGCCCUCUGUUGUAACCUCCUCGUCCAUGACAAUUCGAUUAUUCACCCAUUUUUUGAGAUUAUUGAUGGUACUAGGUUGUUGCUAUCUAGGAUUGUUGGGAAUAUCUACCUUUCUUAUGAUUGUGUAGACGAUAAUUAGCAUUUAUGUAAUCUUAUUAGACUAGGAUUUAGUAUCAUGUAAUUAAACUCCAUGAUUUCAUUUUGCCUUUUAUUCAAGGAUGAAUGAAUCUUUUUUUUUUUUGGCCAACAGGAUGGAUGAAUGAAGCACGAAUUGCCUUAUUUUA